CCACCUUGGCCCCGCCCUCCAGGUGUUUUGGACUACAAUUCCCAGAAUUCCCAACAGCCGGAGUCCUGCAUCCCUAAGCUUCAUGAAGGUGAAGGAUCUUUGGGGCUAUGGGAAUGGGGCUUAUUGCAAGAACCACGUGGUGACUUUGAAUCCCCCAUGUCCAGUUCAUACCUAAGGCCAUGCAGUGGUACCAGAAACUGCAAGCCAUGCUGUUCUAUUUGUGUUCCUCACCCAGCUGGGCUCCUUCCCUCCCCUCGGCCUCUCUGCCCGCUCUUUGGGCGUCCUUGACCCAGAGAAGUCCGGUGUGAGGAUAUUUCCCUUUUGGCUCAUGCAAGGACCCUCCUCUCCGUGGCGCCACUGCAAAGCUGGCUGUGGGAAGGCGGGGGCUCCUGAUCUCUCACAGAGGGUUUUGCCAUUUCAUGCUUCCUAUAAGCCUCCUUCCCAUUCACAUGCACACACCAAGGACUUGAGCAAAGCAGGGACAGAAAGAUGGGAAACAAAUAAAAUAAUCUCCAAUUUGCCAAGUCCCAUGUCUUACAAUUUUUCAGUCUGUUCCAGGAAUGUGGGCCAUAUGGGAGGGGGGAAAUGAAAUCAUUGCCUCCCAAAUAAAAAUUCUACCUUCAAAAUGACAUUUUCCACCAGUCCCCCAAAUUUUACCUUUAUAGAAACUGCAAUACUGAACAUUAUUCACAUUUUGAACCACACCCUCCAAUUGUCCCAAUGUGGCAGGGAUUAUUUCUGGUCAGUCCUCUGUCAUCCCACCUUUUCACCUGCAUUUGAAAUGUCCCAGUUUCUCUCUUGCUAUCACUUUUCUCCUUCAUCCUCACUGUUGAGGCUCAGAUGCGAUAUCCCUUUUGAAGAAGGCAAACCUUGCAGAACCCCCUAAUGCUGGCUUUCCAAUAAAGGAACGAGGAGGCAGAGGAGAUAGAAAUACACAGAUUUAUUUGCAAAUAGAGCUGCGGGUGACCAUCAUGAAAAGGAGUGGCACGCCGACUGAGAUUUCACAUAUUCUUCCAGGUACAAUUCAUUUCACAAACAUCCUUGUUCUCAUGCUCCCUCUUUCUUUCAUCUUGUUUCAUCCUGACAUUUAUCAAAACAACAAACAACAAAUGUCAAUCUAUCAAAAUCAAACUGGAACAAAACACCGUCUCUGAUCCUCACAUCUAGGACUCUUUCUAAGGUUUUAUUGCCCUGCCUGCAUGUGUGAGUUCCUGGACAUCAUCACUAUAUUUUAGUUGCUGAAAACUAGGUUCAAAGUACAAAUGUAACUUCUCAGAAAGGGGGAAAAGCUAAGGAUAAGAAAGUCAGGGGCAUCAUCUUCCCUUCCUUAUAGACUCACUCAAUAGUAAAGUGUUGCAGCCUCUCUGAAGUCCAUCUAGACUGUAGAAUUAAUGCAGUUUGACACCACUUUAACUGUCAUGGCUCAAUGCUAUGGAAUCCUUAGAUACUAAGUUUGGUGAAGCAACCGAAUUCUUUGUCAGGGAAAGCUAGAGACCUUGUAAAAUCAGUAUCAUAAGAUCCUAUCGUUCUCUUCUGGAUGCAACAGUGCUUCACCAAACUGCAAAUCUCAGGUUUCUACAGGAUACAUCUACAACUCCCAGGAUUCCAUAGCAUUGAGCCAUAGCAGUUAAAGUGGUGCCAAACUAAAUUAAUUCAAAAGUGUAGAUGCACCAUAAUGUGUGUAUUCUUUCUCAUUAGGAAUGUUUGGCUUGUUGAGCACACAUCAAUGUUGCUUUGCCACAUAUGUCCUGGGUUUCAUCUGUGAUAUAUUGGGGGACGUGUGGGACUUGGGGAUUUUUUUGUGGGGGGACAGGGAAGGUAGCAACUGAAAUAAUGCACUAAUGUGGUCAGUGGAAGCUGGUAUCUUCCUUAUUAGUGAAAUGGGGAAUCUACUCAAGGUCUGAACUGUAAAGAAGUGAAGAGUGUGAAUCCUAUCCCAAAUAUAGGUUCAGCACCUUGGAUGGUUCCUCUAAAGUUCAUAAUAAAAGCUAGACUGGUUUACAUCAGUUUUUCUCCAAUUGUGUUGCACAACUUUUAAGGGGGUAUAAUAUUUGCUCAACAAGGGCACAAGAAGCAUUUCUGGUAUUAAGUUAUUACAGUCCUAACUUGAGUCAGGGGAAAUAGGGAGACACAUCCACAUAUAGACAUACGGGGUAAAAAGUUUGAAAAGAUGGUGACUAGUAUGAAAGUCAGCAUUUUUCACUGAGCACGGCUGAAUACACUGAAGUUAAAUGUUGAAUAGUUAAUUAGUCAACACUCAGCCUAGAUAUUCUGAUCAGUUUUAGCAGUUAGAUGAUAGAUAGGUAGGCAGGUAGAUAGGCAGACAGACUGACACAGCAGUCAGAAUUCUCAGAAUUCAGGUUCUUUCUGUCUCAGACUUAGAGAAUAUAUCAAAAGCAAAUUGGAAUGAAAUUCUUACCCAUCACUAAGGAGACCAAAUGGGAGCUCUUGAGAGUUAUCAUAUCCUAAUUCUUGCAGAGGAAGGGAACAGCAUUAGGUUUAAGGCCAAUUUUCAUUCUUAUACACAUCUGCAAAAUGGGCUGCCAUAUUGGGGGUGGUCUGGCAGUGACAUUAUAGCACUUCUGCCUUGUUUUGUUGUUGAUGGUGAUGAGAUAUUUCUUUGCUGGGAAUGCUACAAUUAACAGCCGACAUAUUUCAAGUACCUAGGAAACACCAGCCAACAUUGUUUUCUGGUGAUAUGUGAAUUCUACUGUUAACAUUCUAGUACAGCCCCCUUAUUCAUUGGAAUGAUACCCACAAAUCCAUCUACUUGUAUCUGACAAAAUGUUUUCUCUCUUGGAAUUUUCUAGGUCCUCCAAACAAUUUUAUCAUACCUUUCCAGUGGAAGUCAUUCAUUUCAGUUGGGCUCCUCCUGAUCCCUAUUGACUCUAUGAUAACCUCUGAUGGAAAUAAUUCAUAGAAUUGUGAUUCGACCUUAACAAAAAUAUAUUUAUUGUAAGAUGUGUUUUACAAUGAAAUGAUCUGGUGAUUGGUUCUCCAUCUUUUGAGGUCUUUAUACAAGUUUUGAUGGCUCUCUAUGUUUUAGCUGUGUUUACCAACAUAGCAGAGCGUCGAACUAGAUGGCCCUUGCAGCCCCUUCUGACUCUAAAUAAAUAUAUCACCAUGCAUUUUGGGGAAAAGAUGAAAGAUGAUCAUCUAUUAGGUAAUUUGUACUCAAUGCUUGAAAAGAGAAGCAAAACAUCCCACUGAUGUUUGGUUUACAGGUAGAGUCUAAGUUGCAAAGUCAAGGUUCAUACCCUACAAAUGGGAUUCUCUGCUUCUGCAACCUCUAUUGAAAUAUCAAGAUGGUUUCUUCUGAUUUAAAUGGCUCCUGCUCCCAAUUAAAGGCAGAGCCCAGGCUCCUGAAGGCGAACAUUUUACUCAAACACAAUGACAGCCUCUUUCCCCAAGUUGCACAAUUCCCAGAAAUGCACAGCCUCCUGCUAACACCUCCCUUGGGAAGCGCAUGCCAGCCAGCCGGCCGGUCGGCACCAAUGCAAGGAGAAUACUCCCUUCCACCUUCUGGCAAAGGAAGCCUGCAAAGCUCUCAAAAAAGAGGCUCCUGGGGGUUUAUUUCUCUUUCUCACAGUGGUUACAAAAUAGGGAGGACCAACACCAGCUUGGGCUGAAGGGAAGGUUGGGAUGGGGAGAAUGAGGGAAACUGCCAAAGUUGAAACUAUUUGGGGGUCUCUUCUCUAUUAGAAGGAUUUAAACAUACAACCCCUCAUUAUAUUUUUCCUCCUAGUGCAGGGAUGAGAAGUGUGUUGCCAGAUCUCCAGUUUCAGUCAUAAACCUCCAGUUUUCAUGGCUCAUCUCCAGGUUAGGGUUAGAGUUAGGUUCUCCAUUUUGUUGUGUGUACAUUUCCAACUCCUCUAGCAGAAUGUCAGCUUGAUAGUCUUUCGAAAGACUCAUUGAUUUGCUACUGCAACGUGCGAAGAAUUUCCAUGGGUUUUAUAUACAGUACAAUCCCCAUGCCCAUGGGACCUACGGCUUCAUCUGCCAUAUCUCUAGCAAUUUUCCCAGUCCUCCAGGUGAUCCUAUGGCAUGCUUCUGACAGAAGUAACCAUAGAGUCACCUAGGAGAACUCAGAAAAUGCCUAGAUGAUACUUCUUUAAGAAUAUUCAAGUCCUCCAAAGCAACUCUAUAGCAACACUUGGCAGAAGUUAUUCAUUUCAAUAGGGUUCGCUAUUAUCCAUGGUUUACUGUUUUCACACUGCAUUCUCCUGUGGAUAUGGGGGUCAUACUGUAUAUACUGACUGAGUCAUUGCAGUGACAGGACUCUGUAUCCAUCCUCUGGCUAGAAGCAAGUAAAGUAAAUAUUCCCUGGAGUGUUGUGUGGUUUCCAGGCUGUAUGGCUGUGUUCUAGUGGCAUUUUCUCUGACAUUUCUUCAGAGGAUCUUCAGAUGCUAGAUCAGGGCCAUACAGCCUGGAAACCAUGCAACAUCCCAGUGAUUCCGGUCAUGAAAGCCUUCAACAAUACAUUAAAUAUUCCAUGUCUCCCUAAGUAAAAAGAAAAAAAUUCAUUUUACUGGAUCGGGGGAAAGCCAUUUGCGGUACUUAAUAUUUCUGUCUUGAUCUACAAAUAGGAAAAUAGGUAACAUGUGUUUAGGUGUUUGUUUAAAUGACCAGCUGUGGUUGAUAAAUAAUACUUAAUAGCUUCACUAGGGGCUAUCCUCAAGUCUCAAGUUUUGGUCCAGAAAUUUCAGAGCCUUGGAUGAUUCUGGCCUGGCAACUCUAUUCCAAAUCUGUUUAAUAUGCAACCUCCAGUGUUCUUCACCUUUGAUUAUGUUCCCUGGGGCUGCUCGGAGUUGCAGUUCAACACAUCUGAAACACCAACUUGUAGUGGGUUCCUCAAUCUUCAGACGUUGCAUAAAAGAAGGAAUUUCUUCCGCUGUUGCUUGCUAUGCAUCAAGACAAUAGGCAAUACCUGCUCAAAUUUCCUCUUCUACUCAGCUGUUAACAGGCACAAAUAGGCCAUUUCAUUUCUAGCCCUGCCCUAAUGGUAAAUGAUACAAUCCCACUAUCUAGAGCCCCUUCUACACUGCCAUAUAAUCCAGAGUAUCAAAUCUGAUAACCCACAUUAUCUGCUUUGAAAUGGAUUAUAUGAAUUUGCACUACCAUAUAAUCCAGUUCAAAGCAGAUAAUCUGGAUUUUAUAUGGCAGUGUAGGUCCAGCCUAGCUCAUCUGAAUGACUAUAUCACCUCGACAUCCUGAAACAUUUUGCAAAAGGAUAAUUCCAUACGGUCCUAAUGAAUCCUCUAUCAUCCCACUUUUUGGCUGCUUUUGAAACAUCCCAUUUUCUUUCUUUCUCCUCCUCCUCCUCCCCCCCCCCUUUCCUUCUUUUUUCCAUAAUUUACUUCAAUGGCUACAAACAGAGUUCGAAGCAUAUACUGUUAUGAUUCAGGCCUUUUUGGAUAGUAGAUCUCAGAAUCCUGAAUCUGGAAAUUGUAUCCAAAAAUAUAUAUUUUUCUGAACCAUCCAGCCUUAUAUUUCUCGUAUGUUCAGGGGUACUCAUGAUAGAAAAAAAAAUCUGUUUUGAAGCAUGUAGAAUGUUAAUUGAUAUUAACAAGGAGAAGUCAUCUACUAUAGUUCCUACUAUGGUUUCUUUCUAUUCUUCUUAGAAGUCUCCAGGUCACAAACUCCAACUCUGUCCUUAAAUGUCUCCUCUGUGCAUGCUUCCAAACAAAAACUUUGCUAGGUCUUACUUUCGGGGGAGGCCUUAUAUUUAGCAAUUCAGCAAAACCUCUACUAGGUCUUAUUUUUUGGGGAUGUCUUAUUUUAGGGGAAACAGGGUAGAUGUCACCAUUUCGUACUGAGAUAAAGAGGGCAUGAAAUUAUACUCCUUGAAUGCAGAAAACUAGCACAUCAAGGACUUAGCUAAAUGCUGGAAAAAUGAGCUAUGCAGGAUGUUCUUGUUUACAAGCAAAUACAUUACAAGGGUCAACUUGGCACAUUUCUCCAAAAGCCAGGCAUUUCCAGGGGUGCCACAAUUGUCUGGAUUUGGUUUCUUUUGGAAAGAGAUCACUGUAGGCUUUCUUGUGUUUUGCAAUAUCUGUGUAUUUAUUUAUAUAGGCUAAGGGGAAAGGGAAGUUGGGCUGGCUCCAUCCUUCUUAAGCUUCCAGUGGGUAGCCAAGAUUGCACUAAAGCCACUUAAACAUGAGGAAUAACGGACUAUAAGAGCUGCUCAAGAGUAGGAUAGAUUGCCUCAAGAUGUUGUAGACUUAUCUUUGGAGAUCUUUAAAACACAGGUUGGUUGGGCAUCUUUUGGGGUGCUUUAUUUGUCUAUGCUGUCACGAACAGAGGGUUUGAGUAGAUGGCCCUUGUGGAUCCUUCCAGCUUUAAGAUUCUAUGGAUGCAUCUGCACUGUAGAAGUAAUACAGUUUGACACCACUUUAAAUGCCAUGGCUCAGUGCUAUGGAUUCAUAGGAGUAGCAGUUUCAGAAGGUCUUUUGCCUUCUCUACCAAAUAGUGUCUCACCAAACUACAACUUCUACAAUUCCACAGUGUUGAGACAUAGCAGUUAAAGUGGUGUCAAACUGCAUUAAUCUAACACCGUACAUUCAAUCUGUGCAGGAUUUGACUCUUCAAACAAGAGUGGCUUUUCUGUUUCUUUUAAAUGUUCAUCACCUUAAGAGCCUUUUUGGGCUAGUAAAUGAUAUAAAAUUUGGUAAGCGAUAUCGAAAUAUCUUCAAUAAAUAAGCAAAUAAAUACAUCUGUCUGUUCUGAAAAGUUAUUUUUUAAAAAAAAUAUUUUUCAUCUUUUUAAGUGUUUUUAUUUGCUCUUUCUGGUUUUAUCCAUCUCUGGAGGCUAAAGAUAAUAUACAAAUACCUAGAUCCAUAAAUGAUAAAGUGAACUUUAGAGUAAAAUCCAAACUGAAAUCGUCGGUGCACUGACAUAGAAGUCAGUUCUCAGUUUAAAGAUUCAUCCUGGACUCCUUAUUGUAUAGAAUCACAGAGUUAGAAGAGACCACAAGAGCCGAACCCCAUUCUGCUAUACAGGAACACACAAUCCAAGCCAUGAGACAAUGGCCAUCUAUUUGUCUGGAGACACUACCGGAUUCUCAGGCAGCAUAUUCCAUUGUCAAACACCCAGAUUUUCUUCCUAAUGUUUAGGUGGAAUCUCAUUUCCUGCAAUUUGAAUCCAUUGCUGUGUUCUAGUCACACAGCAGCAGAAAACAAGCUUGCUCCAUCCUUAAUGUGACAUCCUUUCAAAUAUUUAAACAUGGCUCUCAUGUCCCCUCUCAGACUUCUCCAAGAUAAACAUACCCAGCUCCAUAAUCCACUCCUCAUAGGGAUUCAUGGCUUUGAGACCUUUGGUCAUUUUAGUCACCCUUCUCUGAACACGUUCCAUCUUGUCCAUAUUCUUUUUGAAUUGUGGUGCCCAUAAGAGGACAUGGUAUUCCAUGUGAGAUGUGAACAAAAAGCAGAAUAGAGUGACACUAUUAUUUCCCUUGAUCUAGAGACUGUACUCUUAUUGAUACAGCCUAGAAUAACACUGACUUUUAAAGCUGCUGCAUCACAUUGCUGACUUAUACUCGGCUUGUGAUCUACCAAGAUUCCAAGAUCCUUUUUAUAUGAACUGCUGUCAAGCCAUGUGUUAUGCCUCCUAAAACUGUGCAUUUCAUUUUUAUUGUUUAAGUGCAGAACCCUACAUUUCUCCUUGUUGAAAUUCAUUUUGUUCGUUUUUGCCCAGCUCUUCAAUCUGUUAAGGGGAUUCUGGAUUCUGUAUCCUCUGGGGUAUUACUGUUGUACCUGUUGUGGUAAUAUCUGAGCGGUUAGACUCAAUUUAACCCUCUCUGGGGGAGAUUCCACCAAAAUCAGCAGAGUAGCAAAAAGCAAAGCUUUCAAAUGCAACAGUUACAUACACUGGCGAGCAAGAAAAGCCUUUAGGAUUGCAAUGGACUGCAGAGUCUCAAUAAAAGUUCAAAAGUAUUUAUUCAGGUAAAAAGAACUCCAUUGUAGAUAGAAAGGCUUGGGAGCUGUCUAGAUUACUAUAGACUGGUUUCUAAGGAAAAAUAAGAAAGGAAAAAUAACAAACAUCUACAUAGUUACAUCUUGCCAGGAGAGAUGGCAGGAUGCUUCUUGUUAGCUUGAAGAACAAAGGGAGAAGAGAGAACCAAAAUGGUUCCGACCUCAUGGUCCAGUUUAUUGGGGCCAUAAAAGACAUUCUGACCAAUGGGAAGUUAGUGUCCCUAAAGAUUCACAUUUCUACUAACUUCAAAGUAAGGGAUGUGACGUAAACAGGAUAGAGUAAAACACAGUAAAGCCUGUCUAGGCAUGCUUUGGAAACAGGAAAAGGAUCCCCUCAAUCUAACUCUAUCAUCUAUCUGACUACAUUUGGACUUGAGUAGUCCAGGAUGAUUUCCCAACAGUACCCUGGCAAGCGUCAGAGGAUUCUGAGGAUAUGGGGUUUCAAAAUGAAGGCUGACCCAGCUGAUGCUUUGCAUUCUUUAGAUCAUUACUAGGCAACUUGGGAAAGUGAAAGUAUCAUUUCCCUGGAUAAAAGGUCUUGGGAUGAUGAGGAAGUUGAGGAGGUUUCAAGGGAGUGUAGAUUAGAUCCCAGAAUGCAGGGUGUGAAAAAUAGGCAACCUAGUGCAUCCAAGAUAAAGCCCUGAAAUCCAGGUGCCUUAGACAUGAUUUCCUAGGAACCUGGAUGGGCUUAAAUUGAAGCCUUGGCUUCAAGCAUUUCAGAAGAGACAACAUUGCUAAAAGGGAAACAGUCUCCUGUUCAUGUUUCCAAGUUCCUGGUUCCUGAAUUGCCAAGAUUCUUGUUUCAUGUUCCUGUUUUGCCUAUGUGCCUUUGAGAGAGAUUCCUGUGUUCAUGUUCAUGGAAAUUACCUUGGAUUAUUUCUGUGUUUUUGCAUUUAUUGGUUCUGAGAUUUUUCCCUAGCAUCUUUGAAUUAUUGCUAUUGAACUCUGGCUUAUUUUGUAACUGCAUGUUAUAUUCUGACUGUCUCUUUUUUGGAAUUGACUGCUUUCCCCUUUUUAUAUUCUUUUCUCAAUAAACAUUUUAUUACUGGU